rnacentral:tRNA from 1 species
CAUUGAAUGGCUGAAUUAAAAGCAAUGGUCUCUUAAACCAAUUCAUAGUUAACUUUAACUUUCAAUG